UAUAUGAGUAUUAAAUAUGGUAUG
rnacentral:piRNA from 1 species